GGCUCCAUAGUGUAGUGGUUAGCGGGUCUGCUUUACACGCAGAAGGUCCUGGGUUUGCGCCCCAGGUGGAGCCA
rfam:Pteropus alecto contig61389, whole genome shotgun sequence.